rnacentral:SRP_RNA from 3 species
UGGCUGAGGAUGCGCAAUCGAAAAUUUCGAACCGUGUCAGAUCCUAACGGAAGCAGCACUAAGAUUUCGUAGAUGUGCCGCAGACUCAGCCUCCC